rnacentral:misc_RNA from 1 species
UCGAGCUAAGUGAUUGUACUUCUUCGCUGCGUACGGGUUCACGAUCUCUCUCCUCUUUUUUGUUUUUGAAUAUUUGCACUCGUGUCAUCGGCGUUCCCGUCUAUCACGCAAGCCAGACGAGCACGCCUUCACUCUCCCCCUCCUUCAUCUUCUUCCACACCCCAGGGGUGAUCCAUUUUGCAAGCUGUGGGCCUCCCCACAGUGCGUGUCCGUGUGUCUGAGGGCCUUUUCACGCCUAGCGAGGGUAUCCUCUACGGACACACGAAGCGGCGCCUCUCAGUCGAGCAGAGAGGCCCUCGAUUUUCCACUCUCGCUCGCCCUGUGGGGUGCAUACGUGAAACGGCACCCCUGCGAAACUGUGUGGUUGCCGUGCGUGCGCCAUCGACAGCUGUGUCGAUCCCUUGCUUUUUUUUUGUUUGCGCCGUAUAGGUGGGCCGUAGCUAACGAGGCUCGUUGUCGACCCUCUCUCUCUCUGGUGUAAGGUGGGCGGCUGUCGCCACUGCACAGAGGCGUAGAAGUGAGCAUCGCUUGCUGAAGAUAUCCCUUCAAUGCUAUUCCGCUAAGGACCCCUCCUCGUCAGUCGCCCUCGUCACCACGCGCGCUCAUCGUUUUGAUUUUUCUUUGUCUUCGCCUCGUUUGUGUGUAUCUCCUUCUGCAUCAGGGGUCUUAAUUCGCAGAAGACCAGAGCUGCCUGGCAGGUCCCCACUCCCCUCACCCCCUCCUCUCCUUCCCUUUCACUGUCUUGCCUUCUUCCUUGGUCUUACCGCCUUCAUUGGCCCCCGCUUCUUAGACUUCAUCUGGCGACCUGUUGCCCUCUGUCGCUGAGGUGCAGGUCGCUUGGAGACUUUCGCUAAUUUAUCCGCGAGGUCGUUGUCUGCGAGUCACGCUGCUGAUAUUCUAUUUUGUGGACUCUCGGUUCUCUCAACUGCUUCCGUCUGACGUUGCUGCCGUGCAAGUGCAUCGUGUUGCCUCGCGUGCUCUCGCUCGCGUUGCCAUCUCCUGCGGUGUUGUUGUCGAGCGACAAGGUCAUUCCGUUUUUCUGUUGUUGUUGAUUGCUUUUCAGCCCACCCGUCUCCCUCCCCCUCUGCGUUUCCUCGUAUACCCUGCCUUGACGGCUGCUGGUGCAGAUUCUUGUGCGCCACUCUGAGCACCCCUCAGCCACGAUACAUUCCGUGUGACGUGCUCACCCUAGACGCGAAAACAUGGACGGCUUUCGCUUUUACAUGGAGGGGAUCGGCCUGCCGGAGGGGAACACGCGGCGUGCGAACGCUGAGCUUAUCGGCGCCAUCAACAGCCCUGACCCAACGGUCCAGCACAGCGGCUUGCAGAUGUUGUGCGAUCAACUCACGAUGAGCUCCUUCAUUUCGCCGUCCACGAUGGCCACUAUCCCGCUUGUUUUACCGUCGCUGCUUCGGUGCAUCGCGUCGUCGCAGGUGCGCGAGGUGUUCAUCACGGCAGCCCGCGCCCUCACCUACAUCAUUGAUGCUUUUCCUCGCACCUUCGAGACGUUCCCAACUCGUCACACCUUGAUCGAAGUGCUGCUGCAGCACCUCCGCUCCAUCCAGGAUGUGGAGCUGUCGGAGCAGUGCAUCACCUGCUUGGAGAUGAUCACGCGGAGCCAGAUGGGAAGCCGCGAGCUGCUGCACAACGACGGCGUCGAGGCGGUGCUUGGCUUCGCCGACUUCUUCACACUGCACAAGCAGCGUCAAAUUUGGACCAUUGUGCAACGGCUCGUCGGCGAGGUGGACGAGAGCAGCGUGCGGCAUAUUACUGCUUGCCUUCCCACACUGCGAAUCGGCAUGACAAACGGCGACUCCGAGAUACGUCAAAAGGCGAUCGCCACACUGGCACAGGCCAUCGAAGGCGUCAAGACGGAUCGAGCCACCGUCGAGACCGUGUUCGGCGACGCGGCAGACCGCAUCGCAGUCCUCCUACACGAGCGUGACGUCAACGACGACACGCUGUCGUCGGCGCUGUCCCUGUUGUUCGCAGGUGUGCAGUGGAGCGCCGGCAUCGCCGCCUCGGUGAUCCAAAGCGACCUAUUCAACACGCUGCUCUCCUUACUGCAACCAGCGCCGGUUCCCGCGGUAGUGGCGGAGCAGCACGCCGCCCCAUCGGCGGCUGGAAGGGUUGCUCGCCGCAGCGCGGCGGCCGAACUGGUAGUGAGACGUGACUCCGGAAUGGACUCUGGUGGGGGCGCCGGUACUGAGCCAGCAGCUGCGCGGACGACGAUGCUCACCUCGCACCAGCGCACCAUUGUGUGCCGGCUAUUGGCCUCUCUGUUGAUUCCGUGCAGGACCGGCGCUACUGAGCAGCUUGAGCGGCUGGAGAUGCUGACACAGCGGCCACUGCUCACUGGCGCCAUGGCCCAUGGCAAUCGGUCGGGCAUGGACGACGGUGAUGACGAAGAUGAGGACUACACGACGGAAGAGGACGAGGACGGGGAGCAGAUGCAUGACUUCGACGAUGAUAGCGAUGCCGACGCGACUCUGACGCACCUACGCGAGAGGGUAGCGCAGGAGCAGGGCCUCAAGAUUGAGACCAAGGCGGCGUACGCCCGGUGCCGUGCCUCCGGUUUUAUGUGCGAUGGAUGCGGGAAGAACUGCACCCCCGGUGACUGGUACCGGUGCAACGAGUGCCCCGACAAAGACUAUUGCACUGCCUGCGUUUUGGAGCACUACAAGGACGACCACGGUGGCCAGCACAGCUACACAGAUAUGGAGCAGGUAGUGGGGGCCGCGGCGCGCAAUCGGGACAAGCUGGAGCUGUACCGCAAGUCGCCUCAGCUGCUCCAGCGCGUCUUGGAAGCCAUUCCCACCGUUGUCUGCGUGUGCGUCUCCUCUGAGCUUGUUGCGGUGCGGACGUCGUGCCUCGACUUUCUCGUUAGCGCGGUUGACAUGGCCUCCACGGAGCAGCUUCUCGCAAGCGACAUCACAAAGGUCUCGCUCGGUGAGUCUCUAAACAACAAUCUUCGCGGCGCCGAUCUUGUCUGCAAUGCUCUUGCGGUUGCUCUGGCGGGACGGCUGCUGCAAAAGCUGAGUGGCAUCUAUCAAGUGCAGUUCGCGCGCGAGGGCGUGAAGCUGAGCCUGCAAGUGCUGAAGCAGCGCUGCAAGGUGAAGGGGAGGACGACACUCACGCGUGAGGCGCGCACAACCCUGACAACCUGCACUGCCGGGUGGAGCACCAUCAUCGGCACCGAGGCGUCAAUACUGCUCCAGCGCUUCCUCGACGUCGAGGAUGAGCAGGCAACCGAGCCCCUGCGUCGCGUGGUCGAGGAGCUCCGUCAAGACCACUUCAGCAUCGCGAUUGGCCUGCUGCGUGACGUGCUCGCUGGUGACGUUACGGCGUUUGAGUUUUUCUCGAGCGGCGUUGUGCGGGAGCUGCGAAACUGCUUAAGCCGCCAGCAGAACAUCUACGCAGUGAUGCACCUGGUCGCUGCGCUCUCCACGUCUCCGGCCGCGACGAGAGGUGGGAAAGCGAAAAAGAGUGCCGGGGUGGCGCCGACGUUGGCUGCCACCACCGCUGGGCGGGUGGGUCAAGGCAGUGGUAGUCUGCUCUCCCACUUUGUGCACCACCUACACACAAUACUGACGCUCCUCGACGACUUUACCGUGCCCACGUACGACUUCAUCGGCGGCGUUCACAACUACUUUGUCGUUUCCUUCGAGCCUCACCGCGCGUCUGUCGCAGUCGCUGGCGACACGACGGCAGACACUUCCACUCCCAGUGCACGCGGCGACGGCGACAGCUCUGUUUCGCCGCGGCAGUGCAUCAAGGCCCGCAUUCGACCCAUCUCUAGUGUCAGCGCCAUGGCGCAAGUUCUGCAGCAGGAGGUGCUGCAGCAGGAGAGCGAGGACGGAGACAACGGCGACGGCGAAGAAGGCGAAGCCGUGACAAACGUCCUGCCCGAUUUGCACCCGCGGCACUCCCCUAUGUCCCGCGACGCAGAAACACCAAUGCCAGCUGCUCCCUCGUCCCCUGCUUCAGCACCAGCGAACAGCAACGUAUGGAUUCGCUAUGGCACACAUGUGCUGCCGCUGUCGAUGACGAUGCUGCAGAUCAUGGAGCACCUCGUCCUUCCUGCCGCGGCGGCCUCCGAAAAUGAGGCGCGAGGCAGCCACCGCGACAACGCCGAAAGAAGGGCGAAGCCGCGUCACCAGCGGCGCGGAAAGCCCCACGACACCACCGCUCCAGAGGAGGGGGCACACGAGGAGGAGGAAGCCCGGCACGGUGCUCACAGCCGUCUCGUUCCGCUGGACACAUCGACCGCCGCUGGGUACUCGCUGCAGCGACCUGUCGUACUGUACUACAGCACCACCCCAUACAACCCGCAGUACUACUCCUUGUACAAGGUUCCCAAUGCAUUCCCUGCCAGCGGCAAUCCGCAGGCACCGCUGCAGGUGCGCCUGCCGUCGCAGGACCGUAAGCCGAGCGCAGUGCGGGAUGUUCAAGAGCAGCUUGCUGGUGCCUUCCACUACAGCAAGCACGUGCUCUCCGACAGCCAGCGGGAUGUACUGGGGCUGCUGGGCACGCUGCACGCCGCGGUAGCAAACUGGGCGGUGCUUCUCAACUAUGUGCGAACGCAAGCCGCUGCAGAAUCGAAACAUCUGCGCGGCGUCGACGUCGCAUGCAUUCUGAACACCUUUGCCCCUGCCAUCUCCAUCGCUGAGUUUCAGCACGCGAAGCUCAACAGCAAAGCAAUUCAGCAGUGCUCUCAGAUGCUGCUGGCUGGCCAGCAACGUGGCACGUGGGCAGUAAAACUUGCACUGGAUUGCACCUACCUUUUUAGCUACUCGACGCGCAAGUUUCUCUUCGACGUCGGCUUCACGUCGACGGAUCGCUGCUUGAUUCAGAUGCGCAAAUACAGGGAACUGUUCGGCUUGAAUGAGCCGCGGAUGUCGAGUGAGCAAAUGCGGGGCAUCUACGGUCAGCUCAAGAAGGAGACGAAGCGGGUGUGGCGUGAGGACGUCUUGGAGUGCGCGAAGAAGGUGCUUAGCGCGCAGGACGCACGGGCGCGGAACCUUGUCUGGAGCUUUCACUUCUACAACGAAAAUGGCUGGGGCGAUGGCCCGACGCGCGAGUUCUACACCCUCGUCAGCCAAGAGCUGCGACAGCGCAAGCUGGGACUCUGGCGCGACGGCAACGAGGCCGCCGAUGAUAAUGAGUACAAUACCGCCUCCUAUGGUCUGUUCCCGAAACCGGUGCUGCCGGGGUCGGCUCAGGAGAAGGACCACCUGGUACCUUUCUUCCGUCUUAUUGGCCGCUUUAUCGGCCGUGCCCUCGUUGACGAGCACGUGCCCGGCCUCCCGCUCUCACCGGUCUUCCUCCGCCUCUUGCGCGGUGACGUGUGCGGGAUCCACGAUGUGCAGGACCUCAGCGAGGAGGUCGGGCGUCUGCUGGUUGCUAUGGCGGGAGCCGCCGCGAGUGGGCACACGCGCGUGCAGCUGCCAGGGCAGACGAAAGCGGUGGAGGUGCAGGACCUCGCCCUCGACUUCACGCUCCCGGGGGACGACAGCGUGGAGCUGUGUGCGGAUGGGGCGAAGACGGCAGUGACGGCGAACAACAUGAUGGCCUACUGUGACGCCGUGACGAGCUUUUUGCUCGAUCGCGGGGUUGCCGCGGCGGUCCAUGCUCUCCGCGAGGGCUUCCACUGGUACAUACCGCUAGUGGCGUUGCAGAUGCUCAGCGUGGACGAGUUGUACCAGCUCAUCGCUGGCCACGAGACUGCAAUCACGCGCGACGACUUUGAGAAGUACAGCGAGGCGAAUUACGGGUACACCCUUAACUGCAAGCAUGUACAGUGGCUCUUUGACAUCCUGGCCGCCUUCACGGUGGAGGAGCAGAAGCAGUUCUUUUUUUUCCUCACCGGCUCUGCGCACCUCCCUGUUGGCGGCCUGGGUCGACUGCGGCCGUCCUUUACCAUUGUGCGGAAAACGUCCGAGGAUGCCAGCAUCAAGGAAGAGGACAUGCUGCCAUCCGCCAUGACGUGCCAGAAUUACUUGAAGCUGCCGCAGUACAACACGAAAGAAGAGAUGGAGAAAAAGCUUCGCUUCGCCAUGACCGAGGGCAGCGGUGUGUUCUUGCUCUCCUAGAUACCUCAGCGGUUGCCCCAGGCCGUGGAAGCAGCUAUAUAUGAAAGUAUAGAUGUUUGUCAUCGAGUGUGCCUGGUCUCUCGACUUGCUCUUCUUUGAUCUGGUUGUUGCGGACACUUUUCGGGGGUUUAUUUUUGUCUUUUGUUUCCUGUAACGCUGCCGUCGUGGUGGCCUUUUCGGCAGACCUCUUUGGUGCCAGCCUUCGGGUGUUGCUGUUCGAGGCGGAAGAGAGAACUUUUGAGUGAGAGAGAGUGCGGUGGGGGGGGGGGGCGGUGGUGCCCGCUACCUGCUCUUCCUCCCUCCUGGUGAGUUUACCGGUGACAAUCAACGUAUUCUAUCGCACUCUCUCAUGGUGCAACUCCCUCCACAAUGAACUGACACACACGGACGCAAACAUCUAUUCCGAUUCAUGUGGACGUCCCUGCGUGGUUCUAGCGGGGGAGGGGGGCAGCCGGGGCGCCUCAGCCGCUUGGGUGAGCGUGUCCUUUCGCUUCUCCUGGUUGCCAUGCUGACCCAGGUGGCGGAUGGCGAAACUCCCACAGAGAGACACAUCAGACUCUGUCGGCGGUGCUCGAUUCACCGUUGACGAGGCCGAACUUCCGUCUUGGCACUAGGCUGCGCACCUACGUCUGUGCUCUGUUGAGGGGGCAUGCCGCUUGGCAUACUUGUGAACACGCUCUCCUUGCCUCUUCUACUGUACGCCUGUACGCUCCACCUUCCUUCUCUCUCGCUCCUCCCUCAUUGGCUCUCUGUCGUGCGCUCGGCGCACGUUCCAUGCUCCCGCCGUCCCCUCCGCCCUCCCCACCUCACCCCGCGCCUUUCCUGCCUUUUCAUGUCCCUCUGAGCUCUAUGCUCUUUGCACGAG